GACGAACGCUGGCGGCGUGCUUAACACAUGCAAGUCGAGCGGUAAGGCCCUUUCGGGGGUGCACGAGCGGCGAACGGGUGAGUAACACGUGGGUGACCUGCCCUCAGCUCUGGGAUAAGCCUGGGGAAAACCGGGUCUAAUACUGGAUAUGACUCCAUGACGCAUGUUGUGGGGUGGAAAGCCUUGUGCGGCUGAGGAUGGGCCCGCGGCCUAUCAGCUUGUUGGUGGGGUGANGGCCUACCAAGGCGACGACGGGUAGCCGGCCUGAGAGGGCGACCGGCCACACUGGGACUGAGACACGGCCCAGACUCCUACGGGAGGCAGCAGUGGGGAAUCUUGCGCAAUGGGCGAAAGCCU
rnacentral:rRNA from 1 species